rnacentral:rRNA from 1 species
AUUGAACGCUGGCGGCAGGCCUAACACAUGCAAGUCGAACGAGUGGCGGACGGGUGAGUAAUGUCUGGGCAACUGCCUGAUGGAGGGGGAUAACUACUGUAAACGGUAGCUAAUACCGCAUACCAUCGGAUGUGCCCAGAUGGGAUUAGCUAGUAGGUGGGGUAAAGGCUCACCUAGGCGACGCUCCCUAGCUGGUCUGAGAGGAUGAGCAGCAACACUGGAACUGAGACACGGUCCAGACUCCUACGGGAGGCAGCAGUGGGGAAUAUUGCACAAUGGGCGCAAGCCUGAUGCAGCCAUGCCGCGGUUAUGAAGAAGGCCUUAGGGUUGUAAAGUACUUUCAGCGGGGAGGCGUUACCCGAAGAAGAAGCACCGGCUAACUCCGUGCCAGCAGCCGCGGUAAUUC